rnacentral:rRNA from 2 species
UACGAAGGGGGCUAGCGUUGCUCGGAAUCACUGGGCGUAAAGGGUGCGUAGGCGGGUUUUUAAGUCAGGGGUGAAAUCCUGGAGCUCAACUCCAGAACUGCCUUUGAUACUGAAGAUCUUGAGUCCGGGAGAGGUGAGUGGAACUGCGAGUGUAGAGGUGAAAUUCGUAGAUAUUCGCAAGAACACCAGUGGCGAAGGCGGCUCACUGGCCCGGUACUGACGCUGAGGCACGAAAGCGUGGGGAGCAAAC